AUUAUUGGGCCCCCCCCCCCCCCCCCCAUUUGCUAUACUGGGUGAAACUGCAUUCAGCACAAGAGAGCAGCUGUCUCUUGACUAUUAGCAUUGCAAAUGAGCUCAGCAGACAGAGAACCUCCACUCGGCCAUCAGGGGCCAUAGCUCGUCUCGAAGCAAGCCAUUUGACGAGUACUCUGUGUUUAUCCAACUCAAUCACUAAGCAACAAGUUCUUCAGCAUGGAAAAGAUAGUGCAGUAUCUCAAUACUUAUCAACCAUUCCAAAAGGCCAUCUGCUCCCAAAGCAAAAUGAACAGACCUCUGUAACCAGGGCAAAAGGAUCCACAGGUGAUUGUUCCCAAACCCUUACUAAGCACUAUUGUCAUGGUAACCAACAAGUACUUCAGAUCAACAGAGGACAUGCAAGCGUGCACACACCCAAUGCACAUACACAGUUUGAUUUACCCGUUGCUUCUUAAAUCUACAUUAAAAAUGAUUAAAAUCUGAUAGAUUUUUGCGAUUUA